GACGUAGGGCGCGAGCGUUGUCCGGAUUUAUUGGGCGUAAAGAGCUCGUAGGCGGUCUGUCGCGUCGGUCGUGAAAACUUGGGGCUUAACCCUGAGCUUGCGGUCGAUACGGGCAUGACUGGAGUUCGGCAGGGGAGACUGGAAUUCCUGGUGUAGCGGUGAAAUGCGCAGAUAUCAGGAGGAACACCGGUGGCGAAGGCGGCGACCUGGUCUGAUACUGACGCUGAGGCGCGACAGCGUGGGGAGCAAACAGG
rnacentral:rRNA from 1 species